rnacentral:rRNA from 1 species
CAGCCGGCACCUGAGUAACCCGGAGCACGAGGAAUUCCGGGCGAAUUAGCGGGGACCAUCCCGUAAGGCUAAAUACUAACGAGAGACCGAUAGCGAACCAGUACCGUGAGGGAAAGGUGAAAAGAACCUCGAACAGAGGAGUGCAACAGACCCUGAAACCAUAUGCCUACAAGCGGUCGGAGCGGCUCAGUGCCGUGACGGCGUGCCUUUUGCAUAAUGAACCUACGAGUCACCGUCGUUGGCAAGGUUAAGGACAAUGAUGUCCGGAGCCGAAGCGAAAGCGAGUCCGAAGAGGGCGCCGGAGUCAGCGGAGGUGGACGCGAAACCAAGUGAUCUACCCUUGGGCAGGUUGAAGGACAGGUAAAACUGUCUGGAGGACCGAACCGGUAAGCGUUGAAAAGCUUUCGGAUGACCUGAGGGUAGGAGUGAAAGGCCAAUCAAACUUGGAGAUAGCUCGUACUCCCCGAAAUGUAUUUAGGUGCAGCCUCGGAGAGAAUCUGACGGAGGUAGAGCGACUGAUAGGAUGCGAGGGCUUCACCGCCUAUCAAGUCCUGACAAACUCCGAAUGCCGUCAGACAUAUCCGGGAGUAAGGGCGCGGGUGCUAAGGUCCGCGUCCGAGAGAGGAACAACUCAGACCAUCGGCUAAGGUCCCGAAAUCCGGGCUAAGUUGAAGACAAUAACGAGGUGGGAUUGCAUAGACAGCUAGGAUGUUGGCUUGGAAGCAGCCAUUCAUUUAAAGAGUGCGUAACAGCUCACUAGUCGAGUGAUCCCGCGUGGAUAAUAAUCGGGCAUAAGUCCGGUACCGAAGCCAUGGAAUCACGCUUAGGGCGUGAUUGGUAGGGGAGCAUUCCGUACAGCGGCGAAGGUCGGUGGCGAUGCCGGCUGGAGCGUACGGAAAAGCAAAUGUAGGUAUAAGUAACGAUAAUGGAGGCGAGAAACCUCCACGCCGAAAGACCAAGGUUUCCUGAUCAACGCUAAUCGGAUCAGGGUAAGUCGGGACCUAAGGGGCAGCCGCGAGGCGGACCCGAUGGAAGAAACGGUAAAGAUUCCGUUACUGUCGCCGGGAGUGAAGCGGGGACGGAGGAGUGACACCGCCGCGGACUGACGGAAUAGUCCGUUGAAGAGUGUAGGUAUUCGGAGGCCAGGCAAAUCCGGUCUCCGAGCUGAACUUGACAGUACUGCGAGCCUUCGGGCAAGCAGACAGCGCGGGUAAGCAGACUCCCAAGAAAAUCCGCUAAACAUAUGUCGGCGACACCCGUACCGAAACGGACACACGUGGUCGGGUAGAACAUACUAAGGCGCUCGAGAGAUUCACCGUUAAGGAACUAGGCAAAUUGACCUCGUAACUUCGGGAUAAGGGGUCCCACAGCGAUGUGGGCGCAGAGAAUAGGUCCAGGCAACUGUUUAACAAAAACACAGGGCUGUGCGAAAUUUAAAGAUGAAGUAUACAGCCUGACACCUGCCCGGUGCCGGAAGGUUAAGAGGAGAAGUCAUCGCAAGAGAAGCUUUGAAUUGAAGCCCCGGUAAACGGCGGCCGUAACUAUAACGGUCCUAAGGUAGCGAAAUUCCUUGUCGGGUAAGUUCCGACCUGCACGAAUGGUGUAAUGAUCUGGACACUGUCUCAACGGUGAGCUCGGUGAAAUUGUAGUAUCGGUGAAGAUGCCGAUUACCCGCAACGGGACGAAAAGACCCCGUGAACCUUUACUGCAGCUUAGCAUUGGGACCGGGUGCGUGAUGUGUAGGAUAGUCCGGAGACAGCGAUGCGGGGGCGCCAGCCCUCGCGGAGUCGACGUUGAAAUACGGACCUUUGCGCAUCUGGUCUCUAACUCGCGGGAAGCGAGGACACUGCUUGGUGGGUAGUUUGACUGGGGUGGUCGCCUCCAAAAGAGUAACGGAGGCUUCUAAAGGUGCCCUCAGACCGAUUGGUAACCGGUCGCAGAGUGUAAUGGCAUAAGGGCGCUUGACUGAGAGGACGACAAUCCGAACAGGUAGGAAACUAGAGCAUAGUGAUCCGGCGGUACCGCAUGGAAGGGCCGUCGCUCAAAGGAUAAAAGGUACUCCGGGGAUAACAGGCUGAUCCCUCCCAAGAGCUCAUAUCGACGGAGUGGUUUGGCACCUCGAUGUCGGCUCGUCACAUCCUGGGGCUGGAGAAGGUCCCAA